rnacentral:tRNA from 1 species
GGUGAUGUAGCUCAGUGGUACAGCACUUGUCUGGCAUGCCUGGGGCCCUGGGUUCAAUCCCUAGCAGUGCCA